rnacentral:rRNA from 1 species
AUACGGAGGGUGCGAGCGUUAAUCGGAAUUACUGGGCGUAAAGCAUACGUAGGCGGUUGGUUAAGUUAGAUGUGAAAGCCCCGGGCUUAACCUGGGAACUGCAUUUAAAACUGGCGAACUAGAGUUGAGUAGAGGGGAGUGGAAUUUCAGGUGUAGCGGUGAAAUGCGUAGAGAUCUGAAGGAACACCAGUGGCGAAGGCGACUCCCUGGACUCGAACUGACGCUGAGGUACGAAAGCGUGGGUAGCAAACGGGAUUAGAAACCCCUGUAGUCC